rnacentral:tRNA from 1 species
GGCCUGGUGGUGAAGUUGGUAAACACGACGGUCUGCAAAACCGUUAUACGGGGGUUCGAUCCCCCCCCAGGCCU